rnacentral:tRNA from 1 species
GGAAGGUUGUCCGAGCUGGCCGAAGGAGCACGCCUGGAAAGUGUGUAGGCGUCACAAGCGUCUCAAGGGUUUGAAUCCCUUACCUUCCG